GAGCGAGACCCACGCCCACAGUUGCCAGCGUACUCUCUGGAGUGACGGGUACACUGUGGGGACCGCCGCUGCUAAAGCGGAGGAAGGAAUGGGCAACGGUAGGUCAGUAUGCCCCGAAUAUCCCGGGCUACACGCGAGCUACAAUGGUUGGUACAAUGGGUAUCUACCCCGAAAGGGGACGGGAAUCUCCUAAAACCAAUCUUAGUUCGGAUUGAGGGCUGCAACUCGCCCUCAUGAAGCUGGAAUCCGUAGUAAUCGCGUUUCAACAGAACGCGGUGAAUACGUCCCUGCUCCUU
rnacentral:rRNA from 1 species